rnacentral:lncRNA from 10 species
CAGCAGUGAAGCUAUCUGGCCUUGGGCUUUUCUUUAAUGGAAGACUUUUCUAUUACGGAUUCCAUUUUGUUGUUAAUUGUUGGUCUAUUUAAAUUUUCUAUUUCUUAAUGAUUCCAUUUUGUUAAGUUAUAUAUGUCCUGGAAUUUAUCCAUUUCUUCUAGGUUUUCCAAUUUGUUGGGCAUAUAGUUGUUCAUAAUAGACUCUAAUGAUCAUUUGUAUUUCUGCGGUGUCAGUUGUAAUGGCUCUUAUCUCUGAUUUUAUUUGAGUCUUCUUUUUUUCAAUUACUGUAGCUCACAGUUUGUCAAUAUUUUUUAUGUUUUAAAAAAAACUUUGUUUUGCUGAUCUUUAAUAGUUUUUAGCCCUUAUUUUAUUUAUUCCUACUCUGAUCUUAAUUAGUUCUUCUACUUAUUUUGAGUUUGUUUUGCUUUUGUUAUUCUAGUUUCUUGAGUUGUAACUUUAAGUUGUUUAUUUGAGAUCUUUCUAUUUUCUAAUGUAGGCCUUAAUUGCUAUAAAUUUCUCUCAGCACUGCUUUUCCUGGAUUCCAUUGGCUUGGAAAUAUUGUGUUUUCUUUAUAAUUUAUCUCAAAAAAUUUUGUCAUUUUCUGUUUAAUUUUUUCAUUGACCCAGUGGUUGUUUAGUAGCCUGUUGUUUAAUUUUCAUGUAUUCUUGUAGAGUCCUAAGUUCUUGUUAUUGAUAUCUAGUUUUAUUGCACGCGUUCAGAAACAAUUUAAUUGUUUAAAAUUUAUUGAAACUUUUGUGGCCAGCAUACAAUCUCUCCUGAAGGAUGUCCCAUGUGCUGCUGAGAAGAAUGCAUAUUCUGCAGCUGCUGGGUAGAAUGUUCUGGUCUCUUAGGUACAUUUGGUCUUGGGUGCAGUUUAACUCUGCUGUUUCUUUGUUGAUUUUUUUUUUUUUUUUUUUUUUUUUUUGGUCUGGAUGAUGUAUGUCUAUUGCUGAAAGUGCGGUGUUGAAGUUCCUUAAUGUUACUGUACUCAUUUCUAUCUCUCUAUUUAGGUCUAGGAACAUUUCCUGUAUAUAUUAUGUGCUCCAAUGUUGGGUGCAUACACACUUAUAGUUGUUAUAUCCUCCUUGUGAAUUGACCCCUUUUGCACUGUAUGGUGACCUUCCUUGUCUCUCCUUAAAACUUUUGAUUUAAAGACUAUUUUAUGUGAUAUAAACUUAGCUACUCAUACUCCCUUUUGGUUUCCAUUUGCAUGGAAGAUACUUUUCCAUCACUUCAAUUUUAGUAUAUGUGUGUCUUUACAGGUGAAGUGAGUUUCUAGUAAGCAGCUUGUAGUUGGAUCUUGAUU